UACGUAGGUGGCAAGCGUUGUCCGGAUUUAUUGGGUUUAAAGGGUGCGUAGGCGGCCCUGUAAGUCAGUGCUGAAAUAUCCCAGCUUAACUGGGAGGGUGGCAUCGAUACUGCGGGGCUAGAGUACAGAUGAGGUAGGCGGAAUUGACGGUGUAGCGGUGAAAUGCUUAGAUAUCGUCAAGAACACCUAUAGCGAAGGCAGCUUACUAGGCUGUAACUGACGCUGAGGCACGAAAGUGUGGGGAUCAAACAGG
rnacentral:rRNA from 1 species